UGCAGUCGAACGAAGUCUUCGGACUUAGUGGCGGACGGGUGAGUAACACGUGGGAACGUGCCUUUAGGUUCGGAAUAACUCAGGGAAACUUGUGCUAAUACCGAAUGUGCCCUUCGGGGGAAAGAUUUAUCGCCUUUAGAGCGGCCCGCGUCUGAUUAGCUAGUUGGUGAGGUAAAGGCUCACCAAGGCGACGAUCAGUAGCUGGUCUGAGAGGAUGAUCAGCCACAUUGGGACUGAGACACGGCCCAAACUCCUACGGGAGGCAGCAGUGGGGAAUCUUGCGCAAUGGGCGAAAGCCUGACGCAGCCAUGCCGCGUGAAUGAUGAAGGUCUUAGGAUUGUAAAAUUCUUUCACCGGGGACGAUAAUGACGGUACCCGGAGAAGAAGCCCCGGCUAACUUCGUGCCAGCAGCCGCGGUAAUACGAAGGGGGCUAGCGUUGCUCGGAAUUACUGGGCGUAAAGGGAGCGUAGGCGGACAUUUAAGUCAGGGGUGAAAUCCCGGGGCUCAACCUCGGAAUUGCCUUUGAUACUGGGUGUCUUGAGUGUGAGAGAGGUAUGUGGAACUCCGAGUGUAGAGGUGAAAUUCGUAGAUAUUCGGAAGAACACCAGUGGCGAAGGCGACAUACUGGCUCAUUACUGACGCUGAGGCUCGAAAGCGUGGGGGAGCAAACAGGAUUAGAUACCCUGGUAGUCCACGCCGUAAACGAUGAUUGCUAGUUGUCGGGGAUGCAUGCAUUUCGGUGACGCAGCUAACGCAUUAAGCAAUCCGCCUGGGGAGUACGGUCGCAAGAUUAAAACUCAAAGGAAUUGACGGGGGCCCGCACAAGCGGUGGAGCAUGUGGUAUUAUUCGAAGCAACGCGCAGAACCUUACCACCUUUUGACAUGC
rnacentral:rRNA from 1 species